AGGACGAACGCUGGCGGCGUGCUUAACACAUGCAAGUCGAGCGGAAAGGCCCUUCGGGGUACUCGAGCGGCGAACGGGUGAGUAACACGUGAGCAACCUGCCCUUAGCUCUGGGAUAGCUCCGGGAAACCGGAAUUAAUACCGGAUAUGACCUAGGCCGACAUCGGCCGUGGUGGAAAGUUUUUCGGCUAGGGAUGGACUCGCGGCCUAUCAGCUAGUUGGUGGGGUAAUGGCCUACCAAGGCGACGACGGGUAGCCGGCCUGAGAGGGCGACCGGCCACACUGGGACUGAGACACGGCCCAGACUCCUACGGGAGGCAGCAGUGGGGAAUCUUGCGCAAUGGGCGAAAGCCUGACGCAGCGACGCCGCGUGGGGGAUGGAAGGCCUUCGGGUUGUAAACCCCUUUCAGCAGGGACGAAGCGAAAGUGACGGUACCUGCAGAAGAAGCGCCGGCUAACUACGUGCCAGCAGCCGC
rnacentral:rRNA from 1 species